rnacentral:rRNA from 1 species
AGUGAACGCUGGCGAUAGGCCUAACACAUGCAAGUCGAACGGCAGCACAGUAAGAGCUUGCUCUUACGGGUGGCGAGUGGCGGACGGGUGAGGAAUACAUCGGAAUCUACUUUUUCGUGGGGGAUAACGUAGGGAAACUUACGCUAAUACCGCAUACGACCUACGGGUGAAAGCAGGGGAUCUUCGGACCUUGCGCGAUUGAAUGAGCCGAUGUCGGAUUAGCUAGUUGGCGGGGUAAAGGCCCACUAAGGCGACGAUCCGUAGCUGGUCUGAGAGGAUGAUCAGCCACACUGGAACUGAGACACGGUCCAGACUCCUACGGGAGGCAGCAGUGGGGAAUAUUGGACAAUGGGCGCAAGCCUGAUCCAGCCAUACCGCGUGGGUGAAGAAGGCCUUCGGGUUGUAAAGCCCUUUUGUUGGGAAAGAAAAGCAGCAGGUUAAUACCCCGCUGUUCUGACGGUACCCAAAGAAUAAGCACCGGCUAACUUCGUG